UCCUCCGUGUCAGGCCGCUGGAAGUUGACCGUUAAUGAUGGGCACGCGCACUCUCGCGCAGUACUCAAACAGUGACGUGACGCGCCGCCCAGUGCUGGUUUAAAUGUUAAUUUGUCCCUUGCCCUCUUUCAAUAAAUCUCAUUCUCAGUCAUUCACAAACAUGUCAUUAACAAUGAUCACCAUUUGCUGAACUAUUUGGUUUUUGUUUUGUCCUUAAUUUGAUGACACAUCAAAUAUAAUAAUUCAUGCCAUCUUUUUAAAUUGCUUGAUAAAUUCAGUAUAGGCUAUCCAAAUGGUAUCUUAACAUGAUGUAGUGCAAUAAUAUGAAAAGUUACCAUGAGACCAGCUGACCGUGUCGCAUGUUCUUCAUGGGACUAUCUAGCGACGUCUUUUGAGGACGUGCCCACGACGUUUCUGGGACUUCAGCCAAGAUUCAAAAAAAUUGAACUUUACCACGACGUCCUCACAACGUCGCCAUAAAGUAAUGUCGCGCUGACCAAAGGACGACGAACUGGCGACGUCGUCACAACGUUCUGUGUUUGCUGGGUAGUUACCCAGAUAGCAAGCACACUCGGGCCGAUUCUGGCUGAAAUGCGGCACUGUCGGCUCAGUCACGACGUCGGUGAGAUAAUGGGCCAGAGCCGCGCCGACUGUACAAAACACUUCUGGCUGACAGACGCUUUUUCUCUCUGGGCCGAUCUCGGCUGAGAGCUGUUGUACGUGCGGCAGGUCCGCACUUGGUGUAGUUGUGUGUAUCUAUCUUCCGCCCGAGCUGGUUUUGUCUCCGGCGGCCGCUGCUAGACUGAAAGCCACUGAGAGAAAGAUCUGGCGGUUAAUCCUGAGGAGAUUUCGGCGGGCACAGUUCUCAAGAGGAAUACUUCAGCUGCAAAAAGAAAUUCUGAGCUGCUGCAUGAACAUUCAUCAAACAUACAAGGCUGCAAUUUGGAAGAAAACCUUUCAAGCUAAUGCUGCUGAAAUGGAGGUCAAGGGGACUAUGAAGAGGUGGCUCCAGCUGAUCAAACACACUCUGUUACAGUAAUCAGCUGAUCCAGUCGGUAUCCAGACCAGACGGUGGACCUGCACCCAGGAACGACCACACCACAUCCCUGACUGUCAGCGGAGAUCAUGUCAGCUAGAUCACAGAUCCCUGUGAAGACCUCAUUGAUGGCCCCAGCACAGAUCCUCAGCAAAGACUACGAGAACCAGACAAGCCCUCUGUGCAGACCCUUUUUACCAGCUUCACCUGCUGGCGUGAUGUUUCUUAAUGCAGAAGAAGUUGGAUGAAAUAUUCUGAAUGAUAUCAAUCCACAAUCUGACUUGUGAUGCAGCCUGGAAUAAUCACACCACGUUGAUUCGUUUGGCCAGUGGAGACUGUUUUCUGACUGAGCCGGGUCUUGUUUGGGUUCCUUGUCACUGUUGCCUUUUGUCUUGCUUGGUUGAAGACACCUAAUAUUCAGCAAUAUUAUUGACUUGACUGCACUGACACCAUUUGAUAAGAACUGAACUGAAUUAUGACACACAAUGUUUUAUAUAUGAAGAGUUUAUUUGCAAAAACAGA